UUCUGAGCAGCCUCUUCAAUUAGAAUUGGGAAGAUUUUUUUUUUAAUUUUGUUUGUUUUACUCUCAUUUGUGGAGGGAUAGAAUGUAAGAAAUUAAAGAUAGUGCAGAAGGUAGUCUCACACCUGAGGAGUUGCAGCAGUGCUAAUCACCAAAGAUUAGGAACAGGCCUGCCCUUAAUAGGCCACAGCUGUGUCCAAUAAGAAGAGUGCUACAAAAGAGUGGUUUAGCUGGGUGAGGAGUGAGUUGGAGCUUGUUGGCUGUGCUGUGAAGGGGUCAGUAUGUGAGGAAUGGCCCAUGAGAAAUCACCAAGAAGUUAAUGUAUAUAACCCCACUGUGCUCUGUUGGGAGAAAGAACAGCUUGAACUUUGGUAUCACAGAAGGGAAGAUGGAGCACCAAGAGCUAGUUGAGACAGAAUUUUGGAGUGCUUAGUUUUUGUCCAAGCAGGACAUCUAGCACGCAGAUGCCUUGCACUGCAAGAUAGGAGUUGCUGCAGGGGUUUGGGUUGUCAUUCUUCACAGACUGCUGUUAAGGGAACCUGCUCAGGUGGUGAAUAUGAUCAUUACCAGAGGAUGACUGGAGGUGUUCCCUGGCAGAAGACCCAUGGAAGUCAGGUGUUUGAUAGAUACUGUUGGAGACAGAAAACUGAACUAGAUGGACCAAGAUCUUCAGAAAAGGUUUGACACUGUGCAAAUCUUCAGAGUACAACAGCAGUGUUAGAGAUGAAACAGAGGACUUUGUCUAAUGCCAGCUGUCCGGUGAGGAAGGUCACCAAUCCAAUGGCAAGCCUUCCAGCAUGAGAAUACUGUGGUUUUAUUCUGUCUUACAUCUAUCAAGACAGAAUGCUGUCUUCCUGUUCAUGUGCAGCCUUCUUAAAAUAUUUGUUCCUUUCCAUCCUUCUGCUUUUGCAUUUUGAGGGAAUUUGCCAUGAGUGGUUUCCAUGGUUACAGGGAUACGGCUGCUCUUGGAGUGGGAAAUCUGCAGAGAGCAAAUAGAAAAACCAAUUGCAUCUGGGACAGGGUAAAUGUGCUUUGUAUCCUUAAUGGUCAUUCCAACCCAGUUGGAAGCAGAUAUGAAAUUGGAAAAAGAGAUGUUAUUCUUAACCCCCUUGUCUUACUGGGAAAUGUAGCACUCUCCUUUACCAUUAAGUCGUCUUAGAUUGCUGAAAGCCCUCUGAUUUCUGUGGUCCCUUGAGUACUAAAGGGCAGGAAACAGGCUAUGUUGCAAAAUAGCUACUAAACCAAGUUGUGCAAUUUUCUUGUGUAAGAAGGAAAAUGGGUUUUUCUCUCUUAUUAGAGUUGUACACUUACAUUUUGUUUUUCCUCCAAAUAAAAUGGACGAAAAUGCAGGA